GCUUAAGGGAUCAAACGGAACCAAAAAUAGAGUUUAAAAAGAUUUAAAAUCAAUACCAAAAAUCCAUCGAACCAAUCCAUAAGCUCGUGGUCCACCAUGGACCACUUGGUCCAUAAUAAGCUUGGUGGACCAUGUGAAAAUAACAUGCUGGGGGUUGGAUGCAUGAAAUUUGAAUUCACGCGGCACAGGGAAAUGAUAGGCUUUUGCGUGCGAGAUGCUAGGCUUCAUCUGGUACAUGGAAAAAAAAAUCAAUAAUGUGGAAUGGAUGUCGAUACACAACAGGGAUGCGC
rnacentral:lncRNA from 1 species